AAAUCAGUGAUCGGCCGACCUUCGUCGCUCGGCGUGACGUUGAAUAUCUC
rnacentral:sRNA from 1 species